GGUAAAUAAAUAGAUUAAUCGUUUUCAUCGGUUUUCUUCAGGAUGAAGAGAAAUGUAUAAGUAAAAAGCACGCGAGCUUCUGAAGACAGUCAUCAAUUUUGGUAAUUUGGAUCGGAGUGUUCAGAACUGCUCUUCUUGGUGUCAGAUGAUUAUUGGAAACAUCUCGUCCAAGGCUGGAAACAGAUCAGUGUUGGAAAAAAGUGCGACCAUCUACGAUUACAUAGUACUCUUGGAUUCUGGAGCAAGUUGGCUAUUGGAAACAUCAAAUUCAGAUAAGUGCAUUAUUUCUAGUCUUGUUAGAAACCACUGAACGGUUUCAGUGCAAGAAUGAUGCAAAAAGAAAAUCAUUACCUAGAGUAAUUGUAUUGUUGAAGAGCCAAAUUAUUAGAAUUAAUAUUAAAAGAAUAUGAGAAACCAGAAAUGAGAAUUAGUAUUUUGAGCAUGGGAGGUACCUUAACUACCACUCCGUUCGCUAUCUAAUCUUUGGGAUCACCCUGAAACUGUCGAAUAGUUAUUGUCUUGCAAAUUUCCUUUCAGAACUAAAUUGUUAUUUCCUAAUGCGUAUGACAUAUCGAUCAAUAAUAAAAAACCAAACGUUUCUGAGAAAGUUGAUGAGAAAACAAAUGACUUACAGGUUGUAAAAACGGUUUUGUGGCAUAAUCUGCAGAUUCCGUGUCGUCUUGCAGUUGUUUAUAGGGUAAAACAGGAAGUGAAACAAAUUCCAUAUGGUAAAACCAGGGUCGAGUCUCUUAUAGGCUGAACAGUCACGCAGACAAUGAUACAUGAAAACUAUAUAACUAUAUAUAUUAAACUAUAUAUUGUUGCUUGAAGUAUAGUGACAAAGAAAACUCAAUAUUUCUACGGCUGAGAAAAGUUGUGAAGCUCUUACAAGAUGAUUUGUAUAAGAAAACGUCUGAAUGAAGAAGCGUGACUUAAGAGACUUGAGAAGUUCUUAAAAAUGCUGAUGCUAAUUAAAUGAUCAGCUCAAGAGUCAAC